GACGUAGGGGGCGAGCGUUGUUCGGAUUUACUGGGCGUAAAGCGCGCGUAGGCGGCCAGAUAAGUCGGGUGUGAAAGCCCUCGGCUCAACCGAGGUUCCGCAUCCGAUACUGCUUGGCUGGAGUCUAGGAGAGGAGAGCGGAAUUCCCAGUGUAGCGGUGAAAUGCGUAGAUAUUGGGAGGAACACCCGUGGCGAAGGCGGCUCUCUGGACUAGUACUGACGCUGAGGCGCGAAAGCUAGGGGAGCGAACGGG
rnacentral:rRNA from 1 species